CGGUCCGCGGCGCGGAUGGCUGGACUGGUUCCCGGCAGAGCUGGGAGCGCAGGCUCCGCAGGGUGCGGGCUAGGGGUGCUGACGGGGUUGGGGGGGUGGUGUGUGCAGCAUCAGAGCGUCCCCUCCCAAGUUCCCAGGCGCUUGUCCUUGGGGAGGGGAGUUAGGAGCAGAAGGACCUCGGGUUCUGGGGCCCAGGCCGCCUGCCCGAGUGCUCUGGGGACCUGAAGCACUGGGCAGCAGAAGGCCAGGAGCUCAAGUGGCAUGCCCCGCCCUAUUUCCAUCCCAGGAACUCCUAAUUCCAGACCAAACUGACAAUUUUUAGGACUCAUCUCUGCCCUGGGCAAGGCAGUGCCCAGGCCUUGAUCCAUGCAAAGGGCAAAGCCGCCCGACUCUAACGCAGAGCUGUGAGCCUGAAGGGCCGCGCUGGACAUGGCCAGAGAAAGACUUUUCUUUUUCCAACUUCGGCGUUUGGUUUUGUGUGUCCACCACGCGCAGCUCCGGAGCUGGCAGACCCCAAAUGGAUUCUCAACAGGUGGCCAAGAUUCCAGGAACGCAGUGGUCCCCGCAGGAUCCCUGCGAGAGCAGCUUCGAGUCGCAGGGGUGCUACCCGCAUCCCCAUCCUCGCACGCCGGAAGCCAGCGCUCCCGCCGGCUUCAGAGCCUGGAAGACGCGCGGGCCCGCAAGGAGGCUCCGGGCGGAGGGAAAAGUCUCAAGGCUUUCGCAGCACGACCCCGAGCUACCCUCCGUGGUACCCUUCUUCCUGCUCCAGGCCCCUAGGCCUCUCCAAGGGCUCUAAGGGAUGGCGUGGCCCCAGGGUGCCUGGGCUUGGCCGGGGAGCACCCUCCUGAGGCCGCAGAACCCAGCACGCCGAGGCGGGGGAGGGAGGAGGGGCCGAGGGGGCGGGCCCAGGCCAGUUCCCAGUUACAAAUACAGACGCUCCCGGGGAGGCCGAGGAGGAGAGUUUCGCCCCCAAACACGUAGAUCACUCACCCGAGGCGCCUUGUUUUCCACUCUUGGGUCCUGCAGUUUCCCCAGGAUCCCGUGACGCACUGGCCCAGUUGGCCAGCGUGGUGGCGGGGUGUGCCCGAGAGUCUUGAGGAGACCCCCCUCCUCCCCUGUGGCUUAGCCUGGCCUGGCCAAAAUCCACCAGAAGAGAGCCCAGAGGCUGUCUCAACCCUUCCGAUGGGAGCAAGGCGCAGGAUCGUCGGAGGAUCGCCCUCCUCCUGGAAAGUUAAGAAGAUGGGGAGAUGAAGGUGUAAGAGAGGCCUAGAAGGCCCCGGGGCAGAAGGCCUUAUUAACCUGGCACCCCACCUAAAGCCCCGGGUUUACACUUGCACACUUCCUUCUCCCCAUGCAGACUCAGGAGGUCGCACAUAUUCGAUAUCAGGCUUGAGCUGAGUCACCUGACUGUACACAGAACAUAUAUGCAGCUGUACCCGAAUACGUACCCGAGAAUUAGAGGAACACUAACAGCAGGAUCGGAAGAAAAAAAGAAGUGUUCGCAGACAGAAUUAUUCCAAUGCACGGGUGCACAUCGAGUUGUCCAGAUGCAGACAAAAGCUGUGGUGCCCACAAGGAAUGACCCCAGCCACAGGCAGAUGUGCAGGAAGCCACACAAAGGGAGAGCCUGAAGGAGGAUGCAGGACUCGGGGCCAAGGGCUUCCUGCUAGAGGGACGUUGGCUUCCAAGGGUGAAACUGUUGAGCCAACCAGUUAAAGGUUUCAGGUCAAGUUCUGGAGACUAGAAAGAGCACAACGUCCAUCCACCGCUGAUCCUUUUGCCUUCCACUAAGCUGGGCUUUAGACACUCAGAAGAGGGCAACCCAGGAAAGAAUCAUUUUGAUUCGGGUUAUUUAUUUGUUACUAUUGUUGGUUAAGGAGAUUGUGUUCUGAAGAAGGAUGGGUGGGGAGCAUAGAUGGAUGCCCUAACUCAAUGCUGGGAGAUUCCUAAUUCUUAAUGGGAACAUUCGGCUCCAACGAGGGUUCAAGAAGCCAGGGGCCCUUAUUUUGCCUCUUUCUCACCUUUCAUUGCUAAAUGCAGUCCUUAAAAAGAACCUUCGCCUAGCUCCACGCCCUCCUGUCCUCACUUCCAUCCCAAUCCCCUUUAUAUCAAAUAUGUCCACAAACGAACACUCCCAAGCAAACUGAACUAUUUUAUUACACUAAUUUUCUUUGUGGGAUAUUGGGGUAUUCUCACCCCCUCCUACCCAUUUCCAAACAGAAGCCACCAUCCUGAGAGUUUCAAAGAGUGGCUGUUCCAAAAGGCCUUAGCAAGUGCACAGGCUUGAUGCUACCUUCAGCUCCUUUUGCCUUCCAGACAGUAGCCACCACAAGUUUCCCCGCAAAAGAGGCAGGCACCCUGGAUGCAAAGUCGCCCUUCUUUCCACUUCACCUCCCCCACCCCAGCUCUCUCUCUGAAAGUCGAGGGUGCAUUUGGGAAGAUUCUUUUAGACAAAAAGAGGGGGAGGGAAGAGGACUCUCUGGGCUAGCAAGUGGAUGACUCCCCUCCAAGGGGCUGAGGAAGAUUUUUCUUGUGAAGAAGAGAUGAACCACUCCCUAAACAGGACAGGGGGACACUUUGAAGCAGAUCCAGUUGUCCAAGAAAUGUAGGGUGAGGAGUGGGAAGUAUGAGGAAUUUCUUCCCUUUUGGAGGCUAACAUGUGUGUCUCCCCCACCCCCAAUCCUGGAAAUUUUAGCAAGAGAUGUUCUGGUAGAUGUUUCAAACAAUAAAGACUGAAAAU
rnacentral:lncRNA from 1 species